AUUGAACGCUGGCGGCAUGCCUUACACAUGCAAGUCGAACGGCAGCACGGGAGCAAUCCUGGUGGCGAGUGGCGAACGGGUGAGUAAUAUAUCGGAACGUGCCCAGUAGUGGGGGAUAGCCCGGCGAAAGCCGGAUUAAUACCGCAUACGACCUGUGGGUGAAAGCGGGGGAUCGCAAGACCUCGCGCUAUUGGAGCGGCCGAUAUCAGAUUAGCUAGUUGGUGGGGUAAAGGCCCACCAAGGCGACGAUCUGUAGCUGGUCUGAGAGGACGACCAGCCACACUGGAACUGAGAGACGGACCAGACUCCUACGGGAGGCAGCAGUGGGGAAUAUUGGACAAUGGGGGCAACCCUGAUCCAGCGAUGCCGCGUGUGUGAAGAAGGCCUGAGGGUUGUAAAGCACUUUAGUUGGGGAGGAAGAAUCCAGAGAUGAAUAAGCUAAUGGGAAAUGGACGUUACCCAAAGAAUAAGACACCGGCUAACUACGUGCCAGCAGCCGCGGUAA
rnacentral:rRNA from 1 species